CUCCUAGUUUAUUGUUUUAUCUGGCCUGCCUGGGCAAGGGCAGGAGAUGGUGGGGCAAGGCCAACAAGGACAUGUAUAUAAGAAUAAACACGACCCAGGGGAUAGGAAAGUAAUCAGAAAGAGGAAAGAAUAUUUUUUAAGGCAAUUGGAGUUAAGUGACUUGCCCAGAGUAACACAGCUAGUAAGUGUCAAGUGUUCAGUAUGAGGUCAUAUUUGAACUCAGGUCCUCCUGAUUUCAGGGCUGGUACUCCACUGCACCACCUAGCUGCCCCAAGAGGAAAGAAAUUUAAAGACAAAUUUCAAAAGCUGACUUCUCUGUUUCCUUUACUAUGGAUUCUGAACAGAUUUGGGGGUUGGUAAAGUUGAGAGGCAAGAGACAGGGGAGAGGUCCAGGAAGCCUGCCACAUUUGUUCCUUUAAUAAUUAGUCAACCAGCGAGCCUUUACGGAGGCCCCACUUAGGACCUACUCUGUACCCAAUUCCAUUCCAGAAACAUUUACUAAGUACUUACGAGCGCAUAGCGCUGUGCUUGGCUGUGGGGGACACUCAAAGCUUAGAUAAGACACAGUCCUUGUAUUUACAGGGUUCACAGUUUAUAAAGGGGAGAAGACAUCUGAAAUACAAAAUAAUACAAAAUGAAGUACAUCAGAGACGGACAGCCAAAGUUUUACAUGAGACUUACUUUGAACUGGAUUUCAAUGGCUGGGCAGGAGUUCAACGAGUCAAGAAGAAUCAGGGAAGACAUUCCAGGCAUAGAGAACAGCAUGAGCAAAGGUGAAGACGUGGGACACUAGGUCAUUUUCAAGGCACAGCCCAGUCUGGUUAGAGUGCCAAAUAUUUAGAUGCGAAUAAUAGAGAAACAAGACCUUUGCUAGGUACUGUGAGAGGAAACUAGUUCAAUCUGAUCCAGGGAGGACCUCGAGACAAUAGGGAGUCUCCUGAUGACAAGAGACGAUAAUUAUUCAGAUGAUCGUGGUGAUUUACUCAGCAAUCAGUGGCUGAACACAGGCCGGCCAGCGGUGCCCAGAAUGAGAAUCACUGCGGGCCCCGGGGCUCCUGGCUCCUUCCCUCUCCUUUCUGCUUUUGUUUCCCUCUCCCCACUUCUCCAGCACAAAUGGGAGGGGGUGUGUGCAU
rnacentral:lncRNA from 1 species